AGCGAACGCUGGCGGCAGGCCUAACACAUGCAAGUCGAACGGACCCUUCGGGGUUAGUGGCGGACGGGUGAGUAACAUGUGGGAAUAUGCCUUUUGGUACGGAACAACGUUUGGAAACGAACGCUAAUACCGUAUGGUCCCUCCGGGGUAAAGAUUUAUCGCCAAAAGAUUAGCCCGCACUAGAUUAGCUAGUUGGUAAGGUAAUGGCUUACCAAGGCGACGAUCUAUAGCUGUUCUGAGAGGAAGAUCAGCCACACUGGGACUGAGACACGGCCCAGACUCCUACGGGAGGCAGCAGUUAGGAAUAUUGGACAAUGGGCGCAAGCCUGAUCCAGCCAUGCCGCGUGAGUGAUGAAGGCCUUCGGGUUGUAAAGCUCUUUAGCCGACGAAUAUAAUGACUGUAGUCGGAGAAUAAGCCCCGGCUAACUUCGUGCCAGCCGCCGCAGUAAUAC
rnacentral:rRNA from 1 species